rnacentral:rRNA from 1 species
GCGACGCCGCGUGAAUGAUGAAGUUCUUCGGAAUGUAAAGUUCUUUUGGCAGGGAAAAUAAUGAUUGUACCUGCAGAAUAAGCACCGGCAAACUAUGUGCCAGCAGCCGCGGUAAUACAUAGGGUGCAAGCGUUGUCCGGAAUUACUGGGCGUAAAGAGCGUGUAGGCGGCUUUUUAAGUCGUAACCUUAAAUACAGGGGCUCAACCCCUGUCAGGGUUCGAUACUGAUAAGCUAGAGAUUGGGAGAGGAAAGUGGAACUCACAGUGUAGCGGUGAAAUGCGUAGAUAUUGUGAGGAACACCCGUGGCGAAGGCGACUUUCUGGACCAUUUCUGACGCUGAGACGCGAAAGCGUGGGGAGCAAACAGGAUUAGAUACCCUGGUAGUCCACGCUGUAAACGAUGUACAUUAGGUAUUGGGGGUAUCGACCCCUCCAGUGCCGAAGCUAACGCGUUAAAUGUACCGCCUGGGGAGUACGGUCGCAAGAUUAAAACUCAAAGGAAUUGACGGGGGCCCGCACAAGCAGUGGAUCAUGUGGUUUAAUUCGACGAUACCCGAAAAACCUUACCAAAACUUGACAUCUACAGAAUCUUACGGAAGCGUAGGAGUGCCCGCAAGGGAGCUGUAAGACAGGUGGUGCAUGGUUGUCGUCAGCUCGUGUCGUGAGAUGUUAGGUUAAGUCCUGCAACGAGCGCAACCCUCAUAUUGUGUUGCUACAUUUAGUUGAGCACUCUCAAUAGACUGCCCGUGGCAAACGGGAGGAAGGUGGGGAUGACGUCAAAUCAUCAUGCCCUUUAUGUUUUGGGCUACACACAUGAUACAAUGGUCGGUACAAAGGGAUGCGAAGCCGCAAGGUGAAGCAAAUCUCAAAAAGCCGGCCUCAGUUCAGAUCGUAGGCUGCAACUCGCCUGCGUGAAGUUGGAAUUGCUAGUAAACGCAGAUCAGCAUGCUGCGUUGAAUACGUUCCCGGGCCUUGUACACACCGCCCGUCACACCAUGAAAGCCAGAAAUAUCCGAAGUAGAUGAGCUAACCGCAAGGGAGCAGUCUCCUAAGAUAGCGCUGGUGAUUGGGGUGAAGUCGUAACAAGGUAGCCGUACCGGAAGGUG